UAAAAAAGAAAAAUUAUCUGACCAAUUUAGCCAAAAAACAUGGCGGAGAACAUGGACUCGCAGACGGUGACAGAAGAGAAUCUUGACCCUGUUACAAAUGGAGAAAAAACUGCUGGCAGUGAAGCACAAACUGAAACAGAUCCUACCAGUAAUUUAGACGAAGAACAGCCUUCAACCAGUCAGCAAGGGGCCACAGGUGGAGCGGAUGAUGAUGGAGGAAAAGACAAGAAAAAGAAGAAAAAGAAAAAGAAGAAGGCAGAUGGAGCUUCAGGCGGUGCUGCAGUGGGGGUAGACCAGAUUGAUUCCCGUGUUAGUCAGAAUCCUCAGCUAUCCAUGUCAAAGCUAAAAGCUGCCAUGGAGUUUUUCGUUCCACAGGGGCCUGCAAAGAACAUGGACGAAGCCAGGAAAAAGACUUACAACUUCUGGGCAACACAGCCUGUUCCUAAUUUGGAAGAGAAUGUUUCUACGGAAGUAAAUGAAGCUGUAGAACCAGACAAGACUGAAAUCAGGAAAGAACCUUACUCGUUACCAAAUGGAUUUUCAUGGGAUACUCUUGAUAUACACAGUGAUGCAGAGCUCAAAGAAUUGUACAACCUAUUGAAUGAAAAUUAUGUUGAAGAUGAUGACAAUAUGUUCCGUUUUGAUUACUCUGCAGAAUUUCUUCAGUGGGCCUUGACGCCACCUGGAUGGUUAAGAGAUUGGCAUUGCACAGUACGGGUCAAUACAAACAAGAAGCUAGUAGGAUUCAUUAGUGCAGUACCGGCAAGGAUCAAAGUCAAUGGAAAAAUUGUCCGAAUGGUGGAGAUCAACUUUCUGUGUGUUCAUAAGAAGCUAAGAUCGAAGCGUGUAGCACCCGUACUCAUCCGGGAGAUCACAAGAAGAGUUCACCUACAGGGUAUAUUCCAGGCCGUAUACACAGCUGGCGUUGUUCUUCCUAAGCCUAUCUCGACGUGCAGAUACUGGCACAGAUCACUCAACCCUAAGAAGCUAGUAGAGGUCAAAUUCUCUCAUAUAGGUCGGAACAUGACGCUGCAGAGGACAAUUAAACUCUAUAAACUUCCAGAGGAAACUAAAACACCAGGGCUCCGUCCUAUCCAGCCAAAGGACAUGAAGAAAUGUCAUAAACUACUCUCAGAUUAUCUCGACAAGUUCAAACUUGCACCAUUCUUUGAUCUUGAAGAGUUCAAGCAUUGGUUCACCCCUCGGCCAAACAUCGUCAGUGCGUACGUGGCGGAGGUGGACGGUGUCCUGACGGACAUGAUUAGUUUCUAUACGCUGCCUUCUUCCAUCAUGCACCACCCCGUACACAAGCAGCUCAAAGCGGCCUACUCCUUCUACAACGUCACCACCAAGUCAUCGUGGGAGACGCUCAUGCUCGAUGCCCUCACCCUAGCAAAGCAGGAGGACUUUGAUGUGUUUAAUGCUCUGGAUCUAAUGGACAAUAAGCAGUUCUUAGAAAAGCUCAAGUUUGGUAUCGGCGACGGCAACCUUCAAUACUACAUCUAUAAUUGGAAAUGUCCUACCAUGUCACCUCAUGAAAUUGGCCUUGUUUUACAAUAGUUGGAUGCCGAUCAGAUUGAUGAUCCUAUUAAUAGACUAUAGUUAAAUCUCUAGGAUGUAGCCCAAGCCUUGAUAUAUUCCACCUCCUGUCCAACCAGAUUGGCUUCUCAACGUCGUUUCACUAAGAGAUAGAGCAGAGAUGCAAUGACCUGUAUUCUGAAGUCAGGUUUAACUUAGACCACGGUCUAACUCUGUGCUAUGAUUAUGGAAAGCGAAGAGUGACAAAAUUAUCCUUACAUUGUAUGUUUCUUAAGUUUACUGUGCUCUUUCCUAACUCAUGAAUGGUGAAUUAAGCUUGUCUUACUUAUCCUCCCGAAUGAUUUACGAGAAAAAUGAGCUGAUACAUUGAAAUCAUACUGUUAAGAGAUUUAUGACACUAUUGGUUAUACAUAGUUAAACCACAACUUAAAAACAGAGUUUUAAGCAAAUGCAAACCUGACUUCAGAAUACAGGCCAAUGUAUUGUACCCAACAAAGUUGUAGCAAUUGUGACAAUGAUCAUUGUAUUGCUUGAAGAAUGAUCUAUGAAGGUAUUCUUGCAAAUAUUUACCUUUUAAACUGCCUUGGUGAACUUGGGGGUAUUGUGUCUCUGGGUUUGCUAGUCCGACCAGACUUCUACCCUUUUGUUACGACAGUUGCUAUGGAUUCAUGAAAUCAUAGUUGAUUGUAACCAACUUGCAUUGGAAUGGUAUCAGUUAUGAAGGAAUACCUGGUCCCGUCUUACAAAGAGUUACGAUUGAUCUGAUCAAUCUCAACUGUAUUGAAAUCCAUCCUUACCAUAUUUUUUCUACAGGAAAUUUGCACAAUGUCCUUCAUAAACAAAGAGAAGCACACUGAAUUCUCAAAGAAAUGAAUGUAUGUAUGAAUAUACAUCAUAUCUAGAAAAUAUUUGGAAAAAAUUUGCAUUUUAGAUGUUGACGUUGCUGGCCAUCCAUAGUUGUGGUUGAUCGGAUCAAUCGCAACUCUUUGUAAGACAAGGCCCCGAUCGAGUUCAGGAAGUAGAGGUCAGAGCUCAUGGAGUUAUCAAAUGUUAAAAAGUACAUGGAAAUAAUGUCUGCUACUGGGAUUACAUUGGAUGUAUUUAUAACCUAACUUGGAUUGAGUAUGUAUUGGAAUGAAAUGGUGAAUUGUAUUGAUAUAAAGGGGAAGUUCACCCUGACGAAAAGUUUGUCGUAAAAAUAGCAGAAAAAAUAGUAAAAAACAUUGGUGAAGGUUUGAGGAAAAUCCGUUAAAGAUUAAGGAAGUUAUUAGAAUUUUAAGUUUUGGAUUUGUGAUGUUAUAAAUGAGCAGCUGUCCCAUAUGUUAUGUAAUAAAAAAUGCAUGAAUUCAAUUUUUUUAAUGGUUCCUGAUGACUUAUUUUUGUUUUCUUUUCACGAUCGCAUGUGAAAUGAUUUGUCUCUUGAUUUACAAAAGGUACAGUAAAAACCAUUCUCAAUUUUCUAAGAAAUUGACAUUUCAUUGAUUUUUUACCAUCCGCUAUGUUGGAAUGCUGCUCGCAUGUGAUGUCACAAAUCAAAUAAUUCAAAUUCUAGUAACUUUUUAAUUCUUUGAUGGAUUUUUCUCAAACCUUCAGAUAUAUUUUUAAAUUAUUUUAUUUUUUCUGCUAUUUUUACAAUCAACCUUUUGUCAGGGUGAACUUCCCCUUUAAGGGGUACCAGAGGUCAAAUGCAACAGGGUAUGUGGUGUUUGGAAUAAAAAAAAAUAGAGAGCGAAAGUUUGUUACUUUAUUACUUUUAAGGUAGC